UCCAAGAUGGACGCUACCGUCGAACUUAUCGGCAGCAAUGACCCAAAAAUGUAUAAAUUAUGGACAUGAAGUGGAUAAAUCUGGGAUGUAAAAGUUUGGAUUUAUUGCUCAACGACCCCGAAAAAAAGGCACAACUUCCAGGCUGUAUAGAAAACCUGUAAAGGCUAGAAAGACACCACAGACACCACCGAGACGGCCGGAUUGUUAGCUCUUUUCGCUAUAAAAUGAUUAAAAUGUGUGUCGCGGGGGGGUCACGACGUGCUGGUUCGUGCUCACCUGGCGCUGAGGCCGACGGCGUCACCAUGGUGACGGUUCACCUGCGGUUCCUCAUGAAUAUUCUUCUGUCAAAUCUUCAAUAAAUUCUGACUGUCAAAGUCCAUAAAGUC